GACGAACGCUGGCGGCGUGCUUAACACAUGCAAGUCGAACGGAAAGGCCCUGCUGUUGUUGCGUGCUCGAGUGGCGAGCGGGUGAGUAACACGUGAGUAACCUGCCCUUGACUUUGGGAUAACUUCAGGAAACUGGGGCAAAUACCGGGUAUGAGCGCCUGCUGCGUGGGGGGGGUUGGAAAGUUUCGGCGUUUGGGGAUGGACUCGCGGCUUAUGAGCUUGUUGGGGGGGUAGUUGCUUCCCACGGCUUUGACGGGUAGCCGGCCUGGGAGGGUGACCGGCCACAUUGGGACUGAGAUACGCCCCAGACUCCUCCGGGAGGCAGCAGUGGGGAAUAUUGCACAAUGGCGGGAAGCCUGAGGCAGCAACGCCGCGUGCGGGAUGACGGCCUUCGGGUGGUAAACCGCUUUCGCCGGUGACGAAGCGUGAGUGACGGUAAUUGGUAAAGAAGCACCGGCUAACUACGUG
rnacentral:rRNA from 1 species